rnacentral:rRNA from 1 species
UACAGGGGGGGCAAGCGUUGUUCGGAAUUACUGGGCGUAAAGGGCCAGUAGGCGGCCAACUAAGUCACACGUGAAAUCCCCCGGGCUUAACCCGGGGAACUGCGUGUGAUACUGGAUGGCUUGAAUUCGGGAGAGGGAUGCAGAAUUCCAGGUGUAGCGGUGGAAUGCGCAGAUAUCAGGAGGAACACCAAUGGGCGAAGGCAGAAUCUCCUGGGCCGUAACUGACGCUGGAGGAGCGGAAAGCAUGGG